rnacentral:tRNA from 1 species
GGGUCGAUAGUGUAGUGGUUAGCACUCCAUCCUGUGAAGCUGGCAGGAGAAGUUCGAAUCUUCUGCGACCCACCA